GACGAACGCUGGCGGCGUGCUUAACACAUGCAAGUCGAACGGUAAGGCCCUUCGGGGUACACGAGUGGCGAACGGGUGAGUAACACGUGGGUGAUCUGCCCUGCACUUCGGGAUAAGCCUGGGAAACUGGGUUUAAUACCGGAUAGGACCACUGCCUGCAUGGGUGGUGGUGGAAAGCUUUUGCGGUGUGGGAUGGGCCCGCGGCCUAUCAGCUUGUUGGUGGGGUGAUGGCCUACCAAGGCGACGACGGGUAGCCGGCCUGAGAGGGUGACCGGCCACACUGGGACUGAGAUACGGCCCAGACUCCUACGGGAGGCAGCAGUGGGGAAUAUUGCACAAUGGGCGCAAGCCUGAUGCAGCGACGCCGCGGGAGGGAUGACGGCCUUCGGGUUGCAAACCUCUUUCAGCACCGACGAAGCGCAAGUGACGGUAGGUGCAGAAGAAGGACCGGCCAACUACGUGCCAGCCGCCGCGGUAA
rnacentral:rRNA from 1 species